CUCACGCGCGCGAGCAGAAAUAUGAAUAUUUAAAUUAUCUCCUCCCACUGGUUAGCAUAACAAAUGAAGCGGAAGUUUGUUUAGUCCAUAAUAGUCAAACACAGAGAGCUCAGAUCUCAAUUGUUGAUAGACUAUCGUUGCUACGGUGACUGCAACCGACCACCUUUGAAACACAACUGAAACGCAACUCACGGCUGCUGCUGACAAGGGCAUUCACAUAUUUAUUCGUAAAACCAUUUUAUUUUUUGGUGGAUGAAAACAUUGUGUCAAUAUGCUAUGUCUAUGUUCGCCUUAUUCACCCGGAACGUUCUAAAGACGUUGAGGGGUACACUUCAGGGGUACAUUCGGCAACGCACCAGCUGUCAUGGCGCCUCACUGUUGUGUGCCCAAAUGUUCGUCCUCAAAGAGAAAAAAAAUCCUACCGUGGACAGACUUUCCACCGUUUCCCCAAAGAGCAGGCACUUCGCCGUGGAUGUAUAAAUCACAUCUAGAGGGGUCCUGGUCCACAUUUCAAGGUAAGAUGCAAAAUUAUGUUCAAUCAUACGCAUAGGGAGGGAAAGUAAUCUCAUCGCCCCCUGCUGGCAACGUUCCAACCCCCUGCAACAAAUGAAUGUUUUUUUUCUUUGAAAAAUUACAUCUCGGCCCUGACGACGAAGUAGAAGUAGUGGCAGUCAUAUUAUGGGCAUGUUGGCCCGUUUUAUCGAAUCAGGUGGUAAAAUGUUCGGUUUUUCACUGAUCUGAGCUGAUUUUAAUAUUCUUUAAAAAGCUAAUACAGAACUACACUGACUGGUAUGUGUGGCUUGUUUACUCCAUGUAAUUAGCAUAGCCAAAUUAGCAUAGCCAAACAUGAGCCAGAGAGGUGGUUACUCGUCACCACAGAAGCCAUCAUAUCUACUAGAGAAUUUAAAACCAUACCAAAAUGAUCGCGUGUAUAUAUGUGUAAUAAGAAGACAAUGUGGAACUCAUAGGAUUACAAGAAUGUGAAGAUAUGCGAAGAACUUGCGUUCGUUCGCGUUCAUUUGUUUCUCUGUGUUGUCAACGAGGCGCGAAGCACAGCAUGCUGGGAGCUGCAGUCCGUUUCCGACCAGAUUGGCACUUUUUGUAUUUUUCUUAAAAGGGCAAAAAAUGACUUAAGAUUUUCACAGGUAGUAGUUCAUGCUAUUGUGUACGCUGAAAAAUGUGUCUGGUGUUAUAGUUCCAAGUCAUAUCUUUGUGGGAUUUUUUUAAAAACUUGUCUAUGGGAGUUUCAAUAGGAUCACCCUGGUGUUUGGAACGUAACCGCUAGGAUCGCUGUUUUCCACUUUCCCUCCCAAUUAGCUAGCACAAAUAAGCUAGCUCGCCAAACUUGUCAUGACUCAUGUAGCCUAAUGACGCGAAUGCCUCGGUGAAAUAAAAAAUAUGAAUGUGUAAUUACACAACGCUACAUUUAUAUGAUAUUUCCAGAUCGCUAUUUCAAGAUUAGGCUUUUAAUUGUGUGGUAAGCGAUCCGAUGGCCACUGAUUUUGUGCUACCAGAACCAGUAGCGUAGGCCUACUUGUGCCAAAAUCAAGUUGUUUUGCUAACGAACUAAAAUGCAUACCCUGGUAUUUAUGGUUACAGAUCAACGCUGAGACCAAGGUUUGCUCUGAGCACUUUGAGAAGCAGUGUUUUGUAAAGACCACCCGUGUUAUCACAAAGCUUAUAAAGGAUGCUGUGCCAACUUUCGCCUGGACUUCAGAGAGGCCAAAGAGGAGAAUCAUCAUUCGCAGACCGAGAGAUGAUGACCCAUUCCUGAAGUUGGACGCCAGAAUGCAGGAAGGUGCUGUUUAAGAGCCUAGGCGGUGGAAGAAGCACUUGCAGGUAUGCUACCGACCAGGCUCCUCAACAUCAAUCCGAGACGGAAGAUGAAACGGGAUGAAGCAGUUAGAUUGAGACAAGGAGGCCGGAAACUUUGAUGACCUCAAUGACACUGGCUAGGUGAAGGACAUCAAGAAAAUGGCAUCAGGUCACCAGACAUCAGCUCAUAAUCCACAACGUCAUCAACCAUUUUGCGCCAAAAAUGAAGCCGUUCACAUACCAUGGCAUCCUAAGCAGGCAGCACUACACUACUGUGCAACAGUGAGAGAGAGUGGGCAAGGACAAGUAAAGCGGACCUACACUACAGCAAGACUUUGACACUUCUCCACGUGAGAGGCAGCCAUCGCCCCCACCGUUGAGCAGUGUGUACCCAGUACCCCCAAAAGAGGAGAUGAUCCGACGCCCUCACAGCCGAUUCCCAAAAUUGUACACAAAAACUCUGUAUGGGCAAGUGUGUGUGUGUAUGAUAUUGUAAAACUUUUCAGUCCAUCUUCUAUACUAUACAAUGUAUAAAUAUACAUGUGAAAACCUAAAUAUGCAUUAAAAACCAUUACUGAGGUUAAGAAAUGCAUUAUAACAAAUACAUCUGAUUCAGGUGUACUGUACAUAGAAAUGUCUUUAUUUGCCACAAAUACAUCACAUCCUGGAAACCUGUACAAUGUGUAGAUUCAAAGGUCUGCCAGAUCUUUGUGACGGCACAGGAUUGCAGUGGAACCCAAACAUAGCCUAUGAACUCCCACGCCAUCUCACCAACUGCCGAUAUGCAGUAUGCCUGAAUUUCCUGUACAGCAAAGAAAUGUAGAGAUUGUGCCUUCAUCGAGAAUAGGUCAUUUGGAAUCACAACAUAUUCAAUUUACUUUGUGCGUGUGGUGUAGCUAUUGCUGUUAUUAUUAUGUUACUAGUAGUGACCCAUUUAGUUGAGCUCAAUAGUCUACAUGACAUCUCUGCACUUGUGUUACCACUAUUGGGAUUGGCAGCUCCCUAAAUGAAAAUGAGAAGAACUUGCCUGGAUGAAAUGUUAUGAACUGUGUGCGUUGUGCUGCUUGCUGAAGUAACAUGACACCCACAUCACCUUCCAGAAAUAAAGUGUAUACAGCAGUCGUGGGCAGUUAUUUUGGCCCAAGGGCCACAUUGGGUUUAGAAUAUCGUCCGAGGGGCCAGAUGCCGCAGACAACUUGCCCCUUGCUAAUAAUAAGAUAUUGCGUACAAGUGAACAUAACUUGUCAGCUAUGCCAUUUCUGCCCAUUGUAGCCUGGUACUUGGUUAAUUUUAAGUUGGCAAGAGCCCUGUUUUAG